CCUCGCGAGGCUGCGGCUGGGGCAGAAAUCCGUCUCUGUGAGCGGAGGAGGGUGUGCUUAUGCGAGAGCAGGUUUUGGGAGCUCACUAAAGCAGGUCAGUCCCUCUGUUUGCGCCGUUGUCUGUGGGUCGUUUAAUUCCGGGCGCAGCUGAUCUGUAACUUCCCUCACUGGCGAGGUCUCCCAGUUACCACCGGGACAAUCCGAGCAAGGUCUGGGCCCCUCGCUGCCCCCGGUGAAGUGCCGCGUCUCCGCUUGGCCAUCCGUGGAUUCAGCAUCCCCACCUUAGCACCUCCCGCCGGCUUUUCCAUUGAGAGCAAAACCACGAACUCACUUUUGAGAGAUGCUGGCGCUCCCCUCAUCAAUAUUUCUUUUUUUUUUUCUGUUUGCUUACUUUUAACUAACCUUUUAUUGAUAAAUAUAACACAAUUUUAUUCUGAAAUAUAAACCAAAGAUAAGUAUAAUUAUGAACAGCCAAGUCAUUAGAGCGAAAAAAGAAUAGUGUCAGGUUCUUCACAGAUACACUUCCUGAGAAAACCACUAGCCCGACUUUUAUAACACUUUGCUUUUCUUAUUUAUAUUUAUUUAUUUAUUUAUUUUACCAAAAGCAGAUACUUGACUCUUUGCUUUUCUUUACGGUUUAUCACGCAUACUUGAAAACUGGAUUUAUGACAAAGGUGGCAUCAUACAGCCAUGGAGAAAAGAUGGUCUAUUCAGUGAAGGUUCUAUGACAAUAUGAAGGCCGGGCACGGUGGCUCACGCCUGUAAUCCCAGCACUUUGGGAGGCUGAGGUGGGCGGAUCACGAGGUUAAGAGAUCGAGACCAUCCUGGCCAACAUGGUGAAACCCUGUCUCUACUAAAAAGUACAAAAAUUAGCUGGGUGUGGUGGCACACACCUGUAGUCCCAGCUAUUCAGGAGGCUGAAGCAGGAGAAUCGCUUGAACCGGGAGGCGGAGGUUGCAGUGAGCGGAGAUCACACCACUGCACUUCAGCCUGGGCAACAGAGGGAGACUCCGUCUCAAAAAAAAAAACAAAACAGAAAACAGGACCUCUAUCUCUCAUUUCAUCACAAAAAUCAAUUGUAGCUGGAUUAAGACCUAAAUGUGAAAUCCUAAACUAUAAAGUCUUCAGAAUAUAAUAUAGGAAAAUAUCUUUGGACUUCAGAAUAGGUAAAUAUUUUAAAACAAAAAUAGAAAAACAUUAAAUUGGCCAGGCAUGGUGGCUCAUGCCUGUAAUACCAACACUUUGGGAGGCCCAGGUAGGCGGAUCACUUGAGGUCAGGAGUUGAGACCAGCCUGGCCAACAUAGUGAAACCCCGUUUCUAGUAAAAAUACAAAAAAUUAGCCAAGUGUGGUGGCAGGUGCCUGUAAUCUCAGCUACUUGGGAGGCUGAGGCAGGAGAAUCACUUGAACCUGGGAGGCGGAGUUUGCAGUGAGCCGACAACAGGCCACUGCACUCCAGCCUGGGUGAUAAAGUGAGACUCUGUCUCAAAAAAAAAAAGGAAAAAAAGAAAGAGAAAAAAGGAAAGAAAAAGAAAGAAAGAGAAAGAAAGAAAAGAAAAGAAAGAAAGAGAAACAUUAAAUUAAGACAACUACAGGCUGAGUGCAGUGGCUCACACACCUGUAAUCCUAGAACUCUGGGAGGCCGAAGUGGGUGGAUCCCUUGAGCUCAGUUCAGAAACCAGCUGGGGUAACAUGGUGAAAACACGUCUCUACAAAAAAUACAAAAAUUAGCUGGGGGUGGUGAUACGUGCCUGUAGUCCCAGCUACUCUGGUGCGUCAGUUGGGAAAAUUUUGAAGUGACUUGUGUUUUAGAUAAUAUUAUCAAUCAAUUAUAGGUCUCCUGAGUGUCAUAAUGAUUUUGUGGUUAUGUAGGAAAAUGUUCUUUUUCUUAGAAAUAUGUAAGUUGAGGCCAGGUACGGUGGCUCUCGCCUGUAAUCCUAGCACUUUGGGAGGCCGAGGCGGGCGGAUCACCUGAAGUCAGGAGUUCAAGACCAGCCUGGCCAACAUGGUGAAACCCUGUCUCUACUAAAAUACAAAAAUUAGCCGGGCAUGAUGGCAGGUGCCUGUAAUCCUAGCUACUCGGGAGGCUGAGAUGGGAGAAUCGCUUGAAACCGGGAGAUGGUGGUUGCAGUGAGCCGAGAUCAUGCCACUGCACUCCAGCCUGGGUGGCUGACUGAGACUCUUGUCUCAAAAAAAAAAAAAAAAAAAAAUGGAAUUUAAGUGUAUUAAAUAGUCUGUUCUCAUGCUGCUAAUAAAGACAUACCUGAGAUUGGGUAAUUUAUAAAGGAAAGAGAUUUAAUUGACUCACGGCUCCACAUGGCGGGGGAGGCCUCACAAUCAUGGAGGAAGGUGAAGGAGGAGCAAAGUCACCUCUUACAUGGUGGCAGGCAAGAGAGAACAUGUGCAGGGGAACACACCUUUAUAAAACCAUCAGGUCAGCUGGGUGUGGUGCCUUAUGCCCGUAAUCCCAGCACUUUGGGAGGCCAUGGCUGGUGGAUCACCUAAGGUCAGGAGUUCAAGACCAGCCUGGCCAACAUGGUGAAACCCUAUCUCUACUAAAAAUACAAAAAAUUAGCCAAGCAUGGUGGCAGACGCCUGUAAUCCCAGCUAUUCGGGAGGCUGAGGCAGGAGAAUCACUUGAACCUGGGAGGCGGAGGUUGUGGUGAGCUGAGAUCGCGCCACUGCACUCCAGCCUGGGCAACAAGAGUGAAAUUCCAUCUCAAAAACAAAAACGAAACAAAACAAAACCAUCAGAUCUUGUGAGACUUAUUCACUAUCACGAGAACAGCAUGGGAAAGACCUGCCCCCACGAUUCAAUUACCUCCUACCAGGUACCUCUUCCAUGAUAUGUGGGAAUUAUGGGAGCUACACUUCAAGAUGAGAUUUGGGUUGGGAGACAACCAAACCAUAUCAUUGAGGAAAUGCUUUUUAAUCCAUUGAGAUAUGAGAAGGCAUUUCUGGAUUGAGGCUACAAAAACUUUCUGCCUCUUCCCCAACAUAACCUUUCUUACUUGAGAUGUAAACUGAAUGCCAGGAAAACCCCUCCCCAACCCCUUCACACAUGGACCACUCCUCAAAUGGGGUUUGAGGGGCAAUGACACUGGGUAGAGUGAAGCAGAAGAGAUUUAGAAACAGUCAUGGAAUUUGUGGGGAAAAUAAAUAUCAAAAACAUAGUACCAUAUAUUCCCCAAAACUUUCAGCCUAAAGACUGUGGGUCUCAAAACUGAGAAAAGAAUGCCCUUUUCCCCAAAAGGCUAUCCUAGGAAGUCUGAGUCCUUAAGGCCCACCUGUAUGCAAAAGUCACUGAUUUGGUUCUUCCAUCUCCAGGUCUGUAACCAUCAAAAUACUGUUAGACACAAAUGGCCCAUUUUCCUCUGUGUCCAUUCUUCCCUCCUUGGUGUUUUGGAGCACAGGACUGUACCCCUAACAUUGUACUGACUACAGUCUACCAUAUAUCGGAGUAAGUCUUUAUGUGAUUACUCCCAGAGCUGCACUGUCCAAUACAGUAGCCACUAGUCAUAUGUGGCUCUUGAACACUUGAAAUGUGGCUAGUCCAAAAUGAAAUGUGCUAUAAUUAUAACAUUUACAAGCACUUUGAAGCUGAGUACAAAAAAAAGGUUAAAUAACUCACUAAUAAUGUUUACAUUGAUUAAAUGUUGAGAUGAUAAUGUUUUGGAUAUAUUGGUGAUAUGGUUUGGCUCUGUGUUUUCCACCCAAAUCUCACCUUGAAUUUUAAUAAUCCCCAUGUGUCAUGGGAGGGACCCAGUGGUAGGCAAUUGAAUCAUGGGGACGAGUUUUUCCUGUGCUGUUCCCGUGAUAGUGAAUAAGUCUCACAAUAUCUGAUGGUUUUAUAAAGGGGAGUUCCCCUACACAAGCUUCUUGCCUGCUGCCAUGUAAGACAUGCCUGCUCUUCCUUCGCCUCCCGCCAUGAUUGUGAGGCCUCUCCAGCCAUGUGCAAUGGUGAGGCCAUUAAACCUCUUUCCUUUAUAAAUUACCCAGUCUUGGGUAUGUCUUUAUUAGCAGCAUGAGAACAGACUAAUAAAACUGAGUUAAAUAAAACAUCUUAAAAUUAAGCUGGGUGUGGUGGCUCAUGCCUGUAAUUCCAGCACUAUGGGAGGCCAAGGUGGGUGAAUCACCUGAGGUCAGGAUUUCAAGACCAGCCUGGCCAACAUGGCAAAACCCCAUCUCUACUACAAAUACAGAAAUUAGCCAGGCAUAGUGGCAUGUGCCUGUAGUCCCAGCUACUCAGGAGGCUGAGGCAUGAGAAUCUCUUGAACCCAGGAGGCAGAGGUUGCAGUGAACCAAGACUGCACUACUGCACUCCAGCCUGGGCAACAGAGUGACUCUGUCUUUAAAAAAAAAUUAAUUUUACUUGCUGUUUUUUGUUGUAUUAAUGUAGCUGCUAGAAAAUUUAAAAUUACAUAUGUUUGCAUUUGUGUUGUGGCUUACAUUAUAUUUCUGUUGUACAGUGCUGCUCUGGAGUAUCAGAGCCUUAAAGGAAGAGAAUUUAUCUUGCUCAAAUUGUGUUCCUCACAGGUAUAGGGGCAAUAAUCGGCAUACUCUUUACAUGCUCAAGAGAACUCCAUUGACAAUAUUCAGUAUUUGAGAAUCUUCUAUUCCUUAUAUGAGAAUCAGCCUCUCUCUUGAGUCAAACUCCAAUUUCUGGCAAUUGAAAGGGGCAUUUUUAGUCGGAGAAAGCAGGAGGAGGUAGCCCUAGGCCAGGAAGUUGUGGGGGGUGAGAAUGAGCUAAGGAUGAACGACUGGGGCAUGCUUCUGCUAAAAGAAGGCAGCUUCGGAUAUGGUACAUUAUGAACCCUUGAGUCAAGGGGUUUUCUCUUUCCAUUUCUUGGAUCUGUUUCUCCUGUGUUUGCUCCAUAUCCGGCAGCCUCCCUCCUCUUCCACUGCUAGUAGCUUCCAGGACCAUGAAAGCCUUUCAGAUUUGUGUCCAUUGUGGGAAAAAAGGAAGUCUGUUUCCCUAAUAGCUGAAACAUAAGUUCAGAAAUUGUUCCUGAUUGGUAAACUGGGGUUAAACUCUAUGCCUGUCUUAGCCAGAGUCUUCUAGAAAACAGAGCCUGAGGCAAGGAUUAGAGUCCUUUUUUUUUUUUUUUUUUUUUAAUUUGGAAGGUGUUAAGCACGUGGUAGCAAGGAUAAGAAAAGAAAAGAGGGACGUGGAGCAAGUAACAAUGUAAAGCAAAUUGAAGUGGUAAGUUAUUGCACUGGGCUAUUGCCUCAUGUUGAGACGUGGUUCUCCCAAACUGAUUUCACAGUAAUUUUAUAAAAUUUAAACCCCACGUUGUCACUUUCUGGUCUCAAAUCCUAUAGGAUAAGGCUUAUCUCUUUAUUUAGUCAAUCCAGCCAAGAAUUCAAGGGCUCAUCCAAGAAAGGUAUAAAUUUUGUGAGGUGUAUCACAUGUCAUUUCCUUGUAUGAUGCAAACUAAAUCUGGGAGGAUGAGUAGGAGCUAACUAAAUAAAGAAGUUGGGCUGGGCACGGUGGCUCACACCUGUAAUCCCAGCACUUUGGGAGGCCAAGGAAGGAGGAUCACCUGAGGUUGAGUUUGAGACCAGCCUGGCCAACAUGGCGAAACCCAGUCUCUACUAAAAAUAAAAAAAUUAGCCAGGCACGGUGGCAGCACCUGUAAUCUCAGCUACUCGGGAGGUUGAGACAGUAGAAUCGCUUGAACCCAGGAGGCAGAGGUUGCAGUGAGCCGAGAUGGUGCUACUGCACUCCAGCCUGGGUGACAGAGUGAGACUCCGUCUCAAAAAAAAGAAAAAAAAAGAAAAAAGAAAAAAAAGAGAAGUUGGACAGAAGAGGAAAUUGCACCAUUGAGGACCAGAAACCAUGAAAUAGCAUGGAAUAUUUAGGGAACCAUAAGAUCUUUAUAGCUGAAGCAAAAUAUGCUUGGGUGGAAAUUUGGGAGCCACUUCUAGACAAAUAGGAGAUGCUCUAUACCAAGUGGUCUGUACUAAGAAAUUUACCUUUUUUUUUUUUUCUUAGACAGGGUCUUGCUGUGUCACCCAGGCUGCAGUACAGUGGUGCAAUCUUGGCUCACUGCAGCCUCUGCCUCCUGGGCUCAAGCAGUCCUCCCACCUCAGCCUCCCUCGUAGCUGGGACUAGAGGCAUGCACCACCAUGCCCAGCUAAUUGAAAAAAAAAAUUUUUUUUUUUUGAGACGAAAUCUU
rnacentral:lncRNA from 1 species